rnacentral:rRNA from 1 species
UGCCAGCAGCCGCGGUAAUACGGAGGUUCCAAGCGUUGUUCGGAAUUACUGGGCGUAAAGGGAGCGCAGGCGGAUAGGUCAGUUUAAAGUGGAAUCCCAGGGCUCAACCCUGGACGUGCUUUGGAUACUGCCUAUCUUGAGUUCGUGAGAGGAAAGUGGAAUUCAGGGUGUAGCGGUGAAAUGCUUAGAUAUCCUGAGGAACACCAGUGGCGAAAGCGACUUUCUGGCACGAAACUGACGCUGAGGCUCGAAAGCGUGGGUAGCGAACGGGAUUAGAUA